rnacentral:rRNA from 1 species
AAUAGAGGACUACCAUGGUGAUGACGGGUAACGGGGAAUUUGGGUUUGAUUCCGGAGAAAAGGCCUGAGAGACGGCCAUUACUUCUAAGGAAGGCAGCAGGCGCGUAAAUUACCCAAUCCUAAUUGGGGGAGGUAGUACAAGAAAUACCGAUAUUGGACCCAAAGGGUACAAUGAUUGGAAUGAGAACAAUACAAAAAACUUAACGACUAACAAUUGGAGGGCAAGUCUGGUGCCAGCAGCCGCGGUAAUUCCAGCUCCAAGAGUGUAUAUUAAAGUUGUUGCGGUUAAAAAGCUCGUAGUUGGAUUUCUAAUAAGAAUUGUAAUUAAAUUAAAAACUUAAUUUACAAGUUCUAUAUUAUUUUUAUAGUUUCACUUCGGUGUUUCUAUUUAUUUACUUUGAAAAAAUUAGAGUGUUUCAAGCAGAAUUCAAUCUUUGAAUAAUACAGCAUGGGAUAAUAAAAUAUGAUGAUGAUUAAAAUUUGUUGGUUUUUUUGACCAUUGUAAUGAUUAAAAGGGACAGUUGGGGUCACUUAUAUUGGGUGGGAAGGGGUGAAAUCCUAUGAUCCAUUCAAGAUAAACUAUUGCGAAAGCAUUUGACAAGGAUGUUUUCAUUAAUCAAGAACGAAAGUUGGGGGAUCGAAGAUGAUCAGAUACCGUCGUAGUCUCAACCAUAAACUAUGUCGACAAAGGAUAAAGAGAUAUUAAAUGAAUGAUUCUUUUUGCACUUUACAAGAAAUUAUAAGUAUCCAGACUCCGGGGGGAGUAUGGUCGCAAGGCUGAAACUUAAAGGAAUUGACGGAAGGGCACCACCAGGAGUGGAAUUUGCGGCUUAAUUUGACCCAACACGGGGAAACUUACCGGGUCCGGACACAGUAAGGAUUGACAGAUUGAAAGCUCUUUCUUGAUUUUGUGAGUGGUGGUGCAUGGCCGUUUUUAGUUGGUGGAUUGAUUUGUCUGGUUAAUUCCGAAAACGAACGAGACCUUAACCUAUUAACUAUGUUUAUUUAAAAUUUGACGUUAUAUCUUAAUAUUUGACUUUAUCUACUUAGAGGAACAAUUCAACUUUGAAUUGAAUGGAAGUUUAAGGCAAAAACAGGUCUGUGAUGCCCUUCGAUGUUCCGGGCUGCACGCGUAUUACACUGAAAUGUUCAAUAAGUUAUUUAAAUUUCCUGGAUUGAAAGAUCUUGGUAAACUUUCAAAAACAUUUCGUGAUUGGGAUAGUAUUUUGUAAUUAUCACACUUGAACGAGGAAUUCCUAGUAGGGGCGGCUCAUCAAACCGCUCCGAUUACGUCCCCGCCCUUUGUACACACCGCCCGUCGCUUCUACCGAUUGAAUUAUGCGAUGAGAAUUCAGGAUCGAAUGGACUUGAUUGUCGAAAGGCUUUUGGGUUUAUUUUCUAAUUUAUUCAAAUCUUAUUAUUUAGAGGAAGGAGAAGUCGUAACAAGGUUUCCGUUGGUGAACCAGCGGAAG